rnacentral:rRNA from 1 species
GUCUAUGGCCACACCACCCUGAAUGUGCCUGAUCUCAUCUGAUCUCGGAAACUAAGCAGGGUGGGGUCUGGUUAGUAUUUACAUGGGAGACCACCUAGGAAGACCAGGUGCUGUAGGUG